rnacentral:rRNA from 1 species
AAAAGUGGAGGGGGGAUGGGUUUCAGAGACAUAUAUGGCUUCAACCUAGUGAUGUUAGCAUGGCAGGCUUGGCGUAUGUUAUCCAACCCCGAGUCCCUUUGUGCAAAGGUUCUCAAAGCAAGAUACUUUCCAUGCUCGUCGAUUCUUGAAGCUGAACCGCACCCUGGCAUUUCCUAUACCUGGCGAAGCAUUCUGAAAGGAGUGUCACUUCUGAAAGAAGGCCUUAUAUUCAGAGUGGGAGAUGGCACUUCAGUGCGAAUUUGGGACGACCCGUGGCUGAACAGAGAGCAUGUGAGAACUGUUUCGACGCCAAGGGGACGAUGCUUAUUGACCCGAGUUUGUGAACUGGUCGACCCUGAAACCCAACAGUGGGAUGAGUAG